rnacentral:rRNA from 1 species
GAUGAACGCUGGCGGCGUGCCUAAUACAUGCAAGUCGAGCGAACAGACGAGGAUCUUGCUCCUCUGACGUUAGCGGCGGACGGGUGAGUAACACGUGGAUAACCUACCUAUAAGACUGGGAUAACUUCGGGAAACCGGAGCUAAUACCGGAUAAUAUAUUGAACCGCAUGGUUCAAUAGUGAAAGACGGUUUUGCUGUCACUUAUAGAUGGAUCCGCGCCGCAUUAGCUAGUUGGUAAGGUAACGGCUUACCAAGGCAACGAUGCGUAGCCGACCUGAGAGGGUGAACGGCCACACUGGAACUGAGACACGGUACAGACUCCUACGGGAGGCAGCAGUAGGGAAUCGUCCGCAAUGGGCGAAAGCCUGACGGAGCAACGCAGCGUGAGUGAUGAAGGUCUGCGGAGCGUAAAACUCUGUUAUUAGGGAAGAACAAAUGUGUAAGUAACUAUGCACGUCUUGACGGUACCUAAUCAGAAAGCCACGGCUAACUACGUG